AUGCAAGUCGAACGGCAGCACGGGAGCAAUCCUGGUGGCGAGUGGCGAACGGGUGAGUAAUAUAUCGGAACGUGCCCGGUCGUGGGGGAUAACGUAGCGAAAGCUACGCUAAUACCGCAUACGAUCUACGGAUGAAAGCGGGGGAUCGCAAGACCUCGCGCGAUUGGAGCGGCCGAUAUCAGAUUAGGUAGUUGGUGAGGUAAAGGCUCACCAAGCCGACGAUCUGUAGCUGGUCUGAGAGGACGACCAGCCACACUGGGACUGAGACACGGCCCAGACUCCUACGGGAGGCAGCAGUGGGGAAUUUUGGACAAUGGGCGCAAGCCUGAUCCAGCAAUGCCGCGUGCAGGAUGAAGGCCUUCGGGUUGUAAACUGCUUUUGUACGGAACGAAACGGUGAGCUCUAAUACAGUUUGCUAAUGACGGUACCGUAAGAAUAAGCACCGGCUAACUACGUG
rnacentral:rRNA from 1 species